GAUCCUGGCUUAGGAUGAACGCUAGCUACAGGCUUAACACAUGCAAGUCGAGGGGUAGCAGGGUAGCAAUACCGCUGACGACCGGCGCACGGGUGAGUAACACGUAUCCAACCUUCCCAUAACUCAGGGAUAGCCUUUCGAAAGAAAGAUUAAUACCUGAUAGUACUUUUUCAAGGCAUCUUGAGAAAGUUAAAGAUUUAUUGGUUAUGGAUGGGGAUGCGUUCCAUUAGAUAGUUGGUGAGGUAACGGCUCACCAAGUCUUCGAUGGAUAGGGGUUCUGAGAGGAAGGUCCCCCACAUUGGUACUGAGACACGGACCAAACUCCUACGGGAGGCAGCAGUGAGGAAUAUUGGUCAAUGGGCGAGAGCCUGAACCAGCCAAGUAGCGUGAAGGAUGAAGGUCCUAUGGAUUGUAAACUUCUUUUAUAGUAGAAUAAAGUGAUCCACGUGUGGAUUUUUGUAUGUAUACUAUGAAUAAGGAUCGGCUAACUCCGUGCCAGCAGCGGC
rnacentral:rRNA from 1 species